CAGUCGCCGCGGUAAUACGAAGGGGGCUAGCGUUGCUCGGAAUGACUGGGCGUAAAGGGCGCGUAGGCGGCGAUCAAAGUCAGGCGUGAAAUUCCCGGGCUCAACCUGGGGGCUGCGUUUGAUACUUGGUUGCUUGAGUGGGGAAGAGGGUCGUGGAAUUCCCAGUGUAGAGGUGAAAUUCGUAGAUAUUGGGAAGAACACCGGUGGCGAAGGCGGCGACCUGGUCCUUUACUGACGCUGAGGCGCGAAAGCGUGGGGAGCAAACAGGAUUAGAGACCCCAGUAGUCCCUGUCUCUUAUAC
rnacentral:rRNA from 1 species